rnacentral:rRNA from 1 species
UACAGAGGUCUCAAGCGUUGUUCGGAUUCAUUGGGCGUAAAGGUUGCGUAGGUGGCGAGGCAAGUCGGAUGUGAAAUCCCGGGGCUUAACCCCGGAACUGCAUUCGAUACUGCCUUGCUCGAGUACUGGAGAGGAGACUGGAAUUUACGGUGUAGCAGUGAAAUGCGUAGAUAUCGUAAGGAAGACCAGUGGCGAAGGCGAGUCUCUGGACAGUUACUGACACUGAGGCACGAAGGCCAGGGGAGCAAACGGG